UACGAAGGGUCCAAGCGUUGUUCGGAAUUAUUGGGCGUAAAGCGCACGUAGGCGGAUUCGUAAGUCAGAUGUGAAAGCCCCGGGCUCAACCUGGGAAUUGCAUUUGAAACUGCGAACCUUGAAUGCUUGAGAGGGUGACGGAAUUCCUGGUGUAGAAGUGAAAUUCGUAGAUAUCAGGAGGAACACCGGAGGCGAAGGCGGUUGCCUGGCGAUGCAUUGACGCUGAGGUGCGAAAGCGUGGGUAGCAAACAGG
rnacentral:rRNA from 1 species